rnacentral:lncRNA from 1 species
UGCCACCGUUGUCGUUGAAGAGGUCCACCGCUGCUGUGGGAGAGCGUCACCACUGUCGUUGGAGAGUGCCACCGCUACCAUUGGAGACCACCACUUCUGCCAUAGGAGACCACCACCGCUGAAUGGGAGAACACCACCGUUGCCAUGGAAGAAUACAACUGCUGCCAUGGGAGAACACCACCACUACCAUGGGAGAACACCACUGCUGCCAUGGGAGAACCCCACCACUGCCAUGGGAGAACACCACCGUGCAUGGGAGAGAAUA